ACCGCGUCGCUGGGAGCCUCAGGAGUCAUCACAGAUAAGUUUUGUUGCAUUUUGGCAGUGGUCAGUUGCGGCCGCUGGAAGUGGGCCACUUGCAACAAUUAUGUCCGGCCGGCGUUGCAGGUUCUCGGUUUCAGCAUCCCUCGCCUCCGUCGUUUGUUGAAGAUAAGAAGUAUCAUCAGUGGCAAGAAUGUAAUCCCGCGCAGCUGUCAUUGAGUUUUUGUAGAGCUGCUGGCAUUAUGAUGGUGGAGUUCAUCUCGUUGUGGCAGAGAAGUCGUCAGUGAGGAUUGUGGCUCGGUCGGUCACCGAGAGAAGCCAGAUGCGCCGCGUCUUAUGGCCGUAUCGUCAGGAGUGGCAGCUUGGGGCCGCCAGUUCAAGAUUUGUAGCAGAGGUCCGUCGCAACGGUAUAGGCAUGGAAAUGGAUGUAAAAAUAUUGUUUGGUACAUUGAGUGUAAUUUAAUUUAAGGUACUUAAGGAGGAAGUCUGGCUGGGGUGAGUAUUGUAUUGCUAUUGUAAUUGCGUUGAUUUUCUUUUUGCUUUUCAGGUACGUUUUGUAAGCGCUAAUUUGGGGGACCUUUGUUAUUAUGCAAUUGCAGCUGGGAUGCAGCGGUUUUGGAGUCGUCAAGUUUGCAAUUAGAUAAGUAUUAUAUUAUAAUUAUAUUUUUCCCAGUAAUAGCUUGUGUUCCCUUGUUUCAAUAGUUGUGGUCUUGGAAGCUGGAGCU